rnacentral:misc_RNA from 1 species
UAAAUGAACACUAUGUUUUCAAAGCCACAUGAGAAUCUGAACCUUAUAGAAUGACUAACUUGUGAAACAACUAAACUUCUUAGGAAAGCUUUCUAACCAGUUUCUUUAUGAUUAAUAUUGUAACCCUCUGUCCAAUUUUAUCUAUCGUCUAAGGUUUUUACACCAUGAUUAAGAAAGUAAUUAAAUCACCUAAAUUAUAAUAAAAUACUCCUUGAUUUGACUACAUUACUCUUUAUCUCUCUUAAUUAAGAGAGAGAUAGAGAGAGGGAGGUGAUAAGAUAGGUUUUAGGAAAUUGUAAAAGUAGUUAAUGUUUUUAGUAGAGAUAAGGGUAAAAUUGAAAAUAAUUAAUUAGUGCUCCUUGAUCUUCUCAAAACGACAGUUAAUUUUGGACAAAAUAACUUUUAAAAAACGACAAAUGGAAGGAGGGAGCAGAUAAUAAGACCCAUCGAGCAAAACCAUGAAUCCUAUAGGCCUGCUGCCGAAAGAAAAUUGAAAUAGACUAUAAUGUACAACUCAACAUAAUUAUCCUAAACCCCCAAAGUACAACUUAAAUAAGCUUAGUGAGAUGUGACAAGACCAAAUAACCUCAGUAAAUUAAUCUUUCUAUCUUCCUUUUCUCUCUCGCACCCUCCUCCCCACCCACCACACGCCUUUCUGCUUCUUCUCUCUCUCUGUCCUUCCCUUCCUCUCCCUCUCUCUCUCUCUCU